ACUUUCCGUCCCAAGGUUGUUCAGAUGGGUGGAAAACAGCAAUUCCCUUACAUGGUGGAUCCAAAUACUGGAACUGCAAUGUAUGAAUCAGAUGAUAUAAUUAAGUAUCUAGUUGGAAAAUAUGGUGAUGGAAAUGUUCCUUUUAUGUUGUCACUUGGCCUUUUAACGACCUUGACGGCUGGGUUUGCUAUGAUUGGCCGUAUGGGAAAGGGAUCAUCAUAUUCUCCAUCAAAAUUGCCACCUAAACCACUUGAAAUAUGGUCAUAUGAGGGUUCCCCAUUCUGCAAAAUUGUUCGUGAAGCACUUGUUGAGUUAGAGUUACCGCAUAUUCAGCACAGUUGUGCUCGUGGCAGUUCUAUAUCAGAAAGCUGGACACUUUCAGGUACCAUAUUUGGAAGAUCCAAAUACUGGGGUGCAGAUGUUUGAAAGUGCUGACAUUGUGGACUAUCUAAAAGCAACUUAUGCUCAAUAAGCAAAGCUAGCAACAAGCUUUCUCCUCUCUUUAUCUCUCUCUCCCUGCGCCGCUUUCUCUCGUUGGAACUGUAACCAAAAUAUUUCCACAGGCAUAUUCCAAGUAUCAAUCCUUUUUCUUCUAAUCAAAUGAAGCGGCAUUUUAUUGCUUCCUAGACAAAGCCUGUUAGAUUUCAUGAUGUAAUGAUGUUAGUAUUUGUUGUUUAGAUGUACAUAUAGGACUUCCAAUUCAUGCUUAGACAUGAUGUUGCCUUGAUGGAUCUGAAGUUCAAAGUUUGGUUACAGU
rnacentral:misc_RNA from 1 species